GCCAGGGCCGCCGCCAUCCUGGUACCAGCCAAGCCCGCUCCGGCCCUUCGCCCAGGCACUGCCCCAGCGCGAGCCUCUGCUGGCUCCGCCCCGAGGCCCGUGGGCCCUUUAAGAAUCCAGCCUCAGAGGUCUGCUCUCCGCUGCACGACUCAACUCCCCGAAAGCCCGCGUCUAGCCGCCAGCCCCUUUCCCGCCCGCAUGCAUGCCUGAAAGCUAGGCAGCGCCGCGGCAGCAAGCGCAUCUGGGGAAGCGUGGACCAACAAACAGGGUUUCUCUGUGUACCUUUGGCUGUCCUGGAACUUACUCUGUAAACCAGGCUGGCCUCGAACUCACAAAAAUCCACCUGCCUCUGCCUCCUGAGUGCUGGGAGUAAAGUCGUGUGCCACCACUGCCUGACACACGCAUCUUGAAGUUUCGAAUGAUCCUCAAACCCAGGAAGGCUGUGUUGGAUGAAAGGAAGUAAAGACUGUUGGAGACCGUCUUAGCUGGAGUAUGGAGGAGCUACCCUUCUGAGGUAGGCAGGAGCUGAAUGCCGCUUGGUUUUCCCUUCCCCUUGCUCUGACGGAGACCCAAAAUAAGACUGUCGUCCCGAUUCGAAAGGAAGCGGGCGUCCCUCCUCCCCGGACGUCCUCCCCAAGGCAGACACCCAUGCCCUUACCCGCGGCGCGUGAAUACGAAGGGAGGCACCGCUCGGGCUCGAGACCGCACCAAAGCCUGCUCAGCGCCUGCUGCCUCAGGGCCGCCGCCCCCCGAAGCGGAGGCAAAGGGCCAGAGGCCCCGAGCUUUGGAGCCGCUGGCGCCCAUGUCAGCGCCGCCGGCGCAUGGCGGGCCCGGCGGCCGCUCCGCUCUCACAGCGCGCCGGGCGCGACCAUGCCCUGCCCCAGCCUCCACUCGCAGGUGCCGCCGCCGCCGCCGCCUUCCGCAGGCUCUGCUGUCUCCACGGAAACCUCACUUCCGCUUCCGCACGCCCUGCAGGCUUUCCCCUCUGAGUGGCUAAAGAUCUGUCAGUCUGUGGAGUAGAACCAAUGGCCACCCUCAAGAGCUCAACAACCCAGGAUGCGCUGCCUCCAAGUCCCAGAAGGCUAUGGGUCCCAAGGGUCAGCUGAACAGAUCCCUCCCAGAAAAGCGGAGGUAAUGUGUUGUUUUGGAUUUUAAGGUCGAGCUACGAUUGUCCCAACGUCCCUGACGCCCCAGGGCCCAGUGGCAAUACUCAAUUAGGUCACCCCAACAACCCUAAAGGGACCUUAGGCCUGCUCCAGGGUAGGGUACAUUUACCUUGUUUUCACAACUGUAUCUUUGCAAUUGUCACUUUUGCAUAUAAAGAAAAUAAGGAACUUGCUAAA